rnacentral:rRNA from 1 species
UGAGUACGACGGGACACGAGGAACCCUGUCGGAAUCCGGGAGGACCAUCUCCCAAGGCUAAAUACUACUUGGUGACCGAUAGUGAACCAGUACCGUGAGGGAAAGGUGAAAAGAACCCCCGCGAGGGGAGUGAAAAGACUCUGAAACCGAAUGUCUACAAGCCGUUGGAGCACUAUGGCGCAAGCAACGUGCGACAGCGUGCCUUUUGCAUAAUGAGCCUGCGAGUUACAGUGUCCGGCAAGGUUAAGCCGCGAGGCGAAGCCGAAGCGAAAGCGAGUCUGAAUAGGGCGCUAAGUCGGAUGCCGUAGACCCGAAACCGGGUGAUCUAUCCUUGGCCAGGCUGAAGAGCGGGUAACACCGCUUGGAGGGCCGAACUCACCAUAGUUGAAAAUAUGGGGGAUGAGCUGAGGAUCGGAGUGAAAGGCUAAUCAAACUCGGUUAUAGCUGGUUCUCGCCGAAACAUAU